AUUGAACGCUGGCGGCAGGCCUAACACAUGCAAGUCGAGCGGAGCGGCGGACGGGUGAGUAAUGCUAAGGUCUGUGCCUGGUAGUGGGGGAUAACGUCCGGAAAUGGGCGCUAAUACCGCAUACUAUUAGCUUAGCAUGUGUCGGAUUAGGAAGAUGGUGGGGUAAAGGCCUACCUUGGCGUCGAUCCGUAACUGGUCUGAGAGGAUGAUCAGGCACACUGGAACUGAGACACGGUCCAGACUCCUUCGGGGGGCAGCAGUGGGGAAUAUUGGACAAUGGGCGAAAGCCUGAUCCAACCAUGCCCCGUGUUUGAAGGAGGUCUUCGGAUUUUAAAGCUCUUUAAGUUGGGAGGCGUUACCAACCGAAUAAGCAACGGCUAACUUCGUGCCAGCCGCCGCGGUAAUUC
rnacentral:rRNA from 1 species